rnacentral:pre_miRNA from 1 species
AUCACCUGGGAAUCUUGUUAAAAUUCAGAUUCUGAUUCAGUGGGUCUGGGUGGGGCCUGAGAGUCUGGAUUUGCUACAAGCUCUCAGGUGAUGCUGA